rnacentral:rRNA from 1 species
CCUACGGGUGGCUGCAGUGGGGAAUAUUGCACAAUGGGCGCAAGCCUGAUGCAGCCAUGCCGCGUGUGUGAAGAAGGCCUUCGGGUUGUAAAGCACUUUCAGCGGGGAGGAAGGCGUUAAGGUUAAUAACCUUGGCGAUUGACGUUACCCGCAGAAGAAGCACCGGCUAACUCCGUGCCAGCAGCCGCGGUAAUACGGAGGGUGCAAGCGUUAAUCGGAAUUACUGGGCGUAAAGCGCACGCAGGCGGUCUGUCAAGUCGGAUGUGAAAUCCCCGGGCUCAACCUGGGAACUGCAUUCGAAACUGGCAGGCUAGAGUCUUGUAGAGGGGGGUAGAAUUCCAGGUGUAGCGGUGAAAUGCGUAGAGAUCUGGAGGAAUACCGGUGGCGAAGGCGGCCCCUGGACAAAGACUGACGCUCAGGUGCGAAAGCGUGGGGAGCAAACAGGAUUAGAUACCCGUGUAGUC